GACCAGACUCCUACGGGAGGCAGCAGUGGGGAAUAUUGCACAAUGGGGGGAACCCUGAUGCAGCGACGCCGCGUGAGUGAAGAAGUAUUUCGGUAUGUAAAGCUCUAUCAGCAGGGAAGAAGAUGACGGUACCUGACUAAGAAGCCCCGGCUAACUACGUGCCAGCAGCCGCGGUAAUACGUAGGGGGCAAGCGUUAUCCGGAUUUACUGGGUGUAAAGGGAGCGUAGACGGCAGGGCAAGUCUGGAGUGAAAGCCCGGGGCCCAACCCCGGGACUGCUUUGGAAACUGCCAUGCUAGAGUGCUGGAGAGGUAAGCGGAAUUCCUAGUGUAGCGGUGAAAUGCGUAGAUAUUAGGAGGAACACCAGUGGCGAAGGCGGCUUACUGGACAGUAACUGACGUUGAGGCUCGAAAGCGUGGGGAGCAAACAGGAUUAGAUACCCCAGUAUUA
rnacentral:rRNA from 1 species